GGCUCAUCUCGAUAUUCAUAUCCAUAGCCCACUGGACCUUUUUCUCCAGCACCCAGGGAAGCUACGCCACCACCACAACAUGGACCAGGCGGACCAGAAGGGCCAGGUAGACCAGGCUGGCCUGGUGGACCCUAAAAGGAAACAACAAAAAAGAGGAAAAGAAACUGAAAUGAGCCACAGAAACAAGUGCAAACAAUCUGAUAAGACGAAACAACAGGAAAGAAAAAGAAAAAAAGGAAUCUGAAGAAAAAAAAAGCAGCCCUUCUUUAGAGAUUGCAAGGACACAAAGUGAGACGCCUACUUUCCCAUGGUUAAGAAAAGAGUUUUUCCUUACCCUUGCUCCUGAAGCUCCUGGACUUCCAAUUGCACCUUGAGGACCUAGGGGACCCUACAAAGAAAAGAACAGUAAGUCUUACAAGUAAUGUUUUGCAGCAAGGUAGAUGUAUCUUAAAGAUACCCAGAACAUCUUAAGGACUAUGUCAGAUGUAAGAAUGGUUGCCACUCUUAUACCAGUGAAGAUUAUAAUAAAUUCUCUAACUGAAAAUGUUUUAAGAUGUGAUUAAAAAAAGUGAUACCAUCUAAAAUCAAGAAAGCCAACUGACAUCAAUAAGUAGCGAGUGAUAUAUACAUAAGAAUAUAUACAUAAAGGCUCAAAACACUGCAGAUUUAAUCACAUUACCAACAAGGUUACUUAGAAUUUGAUUAAUGUUCAUGUCUGUUUUUUAAAAAAAUUGCUCUUUUAUUCAUGAAUCAAAAAGAGCUAAACAUUGUGUCUUCAAACAAUUCAUGGUUUAAUUGAGAAUUCAGACUGCUUCUUAUUUGUAAUUGACUCUAUAAAGGUACACUGUAUAUUUCAAUGUAACUACAUGAGUUUUGUUUUCUUGAUUAUCAGUUUAAUCAGGAGUGCUGCUAAGAGUUUUUUUUCCCCCCCAAUAUAACCUGCUCUUUAAAUUUUUGUCAUCAAUACCUAUGGCUUGCCUGUCUAUUACCCUUCAAUUUUAGCUAUUAGUAACCAUUAUAAAUGUUAAUGCAUGUUUACAAUUCAUUAGGUGGUGAUUUCAUGCCAAUUAUGCUACGAUAUUUAUUACUGAUAGAGAUGCAUGACAGAAGAGACAAUGUUGGACUUGGAGUAACUUUUAUUUUAUAGAUUUAGAUGCUUGUUUAACAUAUGUAUCUACUAGAUAGAAUUAAGUAUUGAAAUUCGUCUCUUCCCUAUUUAAUCAGGAAUAGCCUAUAUAACUGAAUGCACAAAGUCUUUUUUUCUAGCCAGAGAGACACUGAGCUCCUAGCAGCUUCUUCUGGUUAUUCAUUAAUACUUAUUUCAGGUUAAUUCACGAAACACGAACUCUUGAACACAUCUGAAAAAUCAAAUUACCUGUUUGCUAUUUUUCUUUUCCUCUUCAAAUCAGCUAAGUAACUGACUGGUUACCUGGGACCCAAACCACAUAAACUAACAUCGCUGGAAUUUCUAAUCCAAUGCAAGAUACUCACAGGAGGACCAGGGAGACCUGGCGUACCAGGAAAUCCUCUAUGACCCUUGAUGCCAGCGCUGCCUCGUUCACCAGUUUCACCUUUAUCACCACGAGGACCUUGAGGACCCUUUAAGGUAAGAUUUGUGAUAAAAGGAAUAUGUAAAUAAGUAAGAAAAAUGCCAAAAGCUCAGGAAACACUGAAUGUAUGAUAUCAGAAAUACUUAAAAUAUGACUUACAGCAGGUCCACGAGCUCCAGCAGGACCGGCAGAGCCAGGAGGUCCAGGUGGACCCUGUGACACAAUAAAAACAAGAUAGCAUGGAGCAGCUGCAGUUGACUAGACCACUUUAUUUCCUGAUAACCAGUAUACUCAGAGACUCAAGGAAGCACCACACAUAGACUAAGCUGAAUUUUGGCCCUUUUUUCUGCCAAAGUCUUACUGCUUGUGUGCACCCAUGCCAAACCUUGAGCAUAAGACCCUUUCUUCAUUUUUCAAGGUGUUCAGUGCCCACAGCACUAGUGUCAGCAUUUCACAAAAAUAUCUUCAAUACAUACAAGAUUACUCCCUUCAGUUCAAGGAAAUAACACUGCUUGUGCUGCAUGACCAUUGUAUGGGAUGGGAAUUAAUGGUGGAAUGAUGGCAUUUCUCAGCAUCCUAAGUAUGUGGCUGUUAAUGCUGUCAGCAUAUAGUUAUCAGCAAUAUUAACUGGGAUGUCUUUCUACUUGCUAUUCUUAUAAAAGUGGUUCUCAAUGCCAAGAAACCUUGGGGAAACAAAUGCAAGCAACUAUAGUAUCACUGUUGUAAACUUCCACUCCUACAACUGCAUGAAACAGACUGUGCAUGGGAAGGACAUGUAAACAUGCGUAUUUGUUUUAUUUUUACCUGAAAUCCUCUUUCACCAGCUUUUCCAGGGGCACCAUUGUUACCUGCAGGCCCUGGGUGACCAGGAGGUCCUGGAACACCAGGAGGGCCGCUUUCACCACGGUCACCCUGCAGACAGUCACAGUAAGAAGAGUAAGAAAUUUAAUGGUUUAUAAAACUGCAACGUAAAGAGUACAUUCCCUCCAGUGUUAAAUGGUUCAAGUUAUGUGGCACAGAAUUAGGUAAAUGUACUGUCAGUUAGGACAAUUCAAAGGCAGUGGUGAUUCCUUACUUUGCCGCCUGGGGAUCCAUCCCGUCCAGGAGAGCCAUCUGAGCCAGGGUUACCCUAGGGGGUGGGGAAGCAAAAAUAAAAAUGGUAGAUUUUAUUAAACAAACAAACCUGUUUAUGGAUAGAAAGCAUUUUCUCCAGUAAAAUGAAAUAGUGUUCAUCAGUGUAAGAGAGCAUUUUCAACAGAGAAGCAUUCCUGAAGGUGAAGGGUUCAUAAAAGAUCUACUAGACAUUUGACUUUGUAAGCAUACAAGCAGAAAAUUCUCUUAUUAGCAUUCAAGUGAGACAGAGACAUGAUCCCCAAGUAGGAAAGAACAUAAUGGACAUUGUAGGCUACACCUCACAGAAUCACAGAAUGGCCUGGGUUGGAAGGGACCUCAGGGAUCAUGAAUCUCCAACCCCCCCUGCCAGGCAGGGCCACCAACCACCCCAUUUACUAGACCAGGUUGCCCAGGGCCCCAUCCAACCUGGCCUUGAACACCUCCAGGGACGGGGCAUCUAGAACCUCUCUGGGCAGCCCAUUCCAGCACCUCACCACUCUCCUUGUAAAGGAACCUCCUUCAUGAAAAGGUAAUCUGCACAGUACUGUGCACCAGGUGCUCAAGGGAACCUUUGUUAACCUUAAAGCAUGUUCACUUCCUGAUUUUUCUGCAUGCAACUCAAAAGUUGUCAGAAAGGUCUAACACAUCCACUCACAUCUCUGCCAGGCUCUCCAGGUAAGCCUCUCUGACCCAUGGGACCUUGUGGACCAGGAGCACCACGUUCUCCUGGGACACCAUUGACACCUGGUUUACCAUCUUCACCCUAAAGAAAAAGAGAAGAUAUAAUUGCAGCUAAUGUGCUUAUUUAAUGCCAUUGUAUUAUACAUCUUCAACUCAGUACGCAGUAAUGAAGGACAUCAGAUACAGUGAAGUGCCACAUGAUUGUGAAUACUUGGAAUAGGAAAAGGAAGAACUUCUUCAGACUUUUUCCCCAUCAAUAGUAAUACCCAUAGAAGACACUUGAAACUGAGGAGCAUGCUUUACUGUUUUCUCAACUAGAAAAUACUAAGGAGGUAUAUUACUUCUUAAUUGCCCAGAAACAAUAGCCAAAGCAUUUAACAAAAGAUGACUGGCUAUCCUAGCUUUUGGUGAUAUAACAUAAACCAAGCCUCCCAUCUCCUUUUCUGGAGGCAGGUGAAAGUAUUUUCCUGUUUGGGUCAUAAUAUUUGGGCAAGAAACAUUGAUAAUUAAGCAAAGAUAACUGGCGGUAGUUGAAACUAUGACUUAAACUCUCUCUAGGAGCUUUUACAGUUCACUUCACUCAAAGGGGUGAGGGUGGUUAUACACUUAAUAUAAUGACAAUUCAUCUGAUCCAUGAGUCUUGGGAAUAGAGAUUAAAGGCUACAUUAGAGACAUCCCGUAACCACUGGAUGUUCAAUAGCCUGAUCUUAGAGAUGCAAGUGCAAAUAACUGGACUAAAAAGCUAGGAGGCUAUCAUCUCAGUGCAUGCACACUCACCUUGCCACCUGCCAUGCCAGCUGGGCCAGGGAGGCCACGUGGACCUGGUAAACCUGUACUGCCACGGCUACCAAUGAUGCCUUGGGGUCCUGGGUCACCUGGUGUUCCCUGUUUAAAGAAAGGUUAGGCCAGUCAACACCAAGCAUCUGGUUUCUGAGAGUUGACAAAUACAGCCCCUGCCUAUCGGUGAACUUUCCUGGCUGGAUAUGUACUUACCCUCUCUCCUCGUGCACCUGGAGGCCCUUUUUCACCUGGUGCUCCAGGCUCACCACGUAGUCCAGGAGGUCCAGAGCCACCAGGAGGACCAGUGUUACCAGGGGGUCCAGGAGGCCCAUCCUUGCCUGGAGGCCCUGCAUUACCAGGGGGACCUGGACUACCCUACGAAUUUUAAAAAGAGCAUGAGUUGUAUUACCUGAAAGAGUACAAUGUACUUACUGGCAUUGCUCUUGCCUCCUGAAAGCCAAGCAGGUUGGUUUAACUGCCUAAAGGUAGAUUGGGAGCACAACCCCAGUAUACCAAGAUCUGAUCUGGUCUUAAAAAGAGUAUUUGUCCCCUUGUCCACUGCUGCUUUCAGCUCAUGUUUUUUUCCUCCCUGCUCUCUGGACAUGUGGUUUCUGUAAGGCAACACCUGCAUGUUUGGGAUGUCUAGUGGCUGUAGCACAUUCAAGACAGGAUACACAUUCCUCACCCAAAGCUCUGCCACUGCAAUUUGAAGCAGUAGUGGUCCCAGCUGAUUUCUGGAAAGACUCAUGCAGAUAUCUUUAAUGGUGCCGUGAACACAGGCAGAAAGAUGCUUUUCCUUAAAAAUCCUAAUAUGUCUUGUUAUUUAGUGAUAUUUACAUCUAUCAGUAACUAUAAAACAAACUUGUUUAUUCAACUAUCAAAGAUGUUUUCUGAUGUCUUGUCCCAGUUAAAAUACAACAAUGAAUAGAUUGUAUUUAUUUAAUAUAGUGGAUAAAUGCAUUUUAUUCUUCGUAUUUUCUUGAUCUUUAAAAAGAAUCAAAAAUCAGACUGGAUUUUUCUCAUCAAGACAAAAGUGGGUGCAUGUUGAACACUCAAGGACAUUAUGAAACAGUGUAUAAUAUGUCUGGAAAUAGAUACUGCACAAGCAUGACUCUUUUUUCUUUUUUUUGAAGGUAAGAUAAUGUAAACUGGUAGACUGAUCUUCAAAUGAGCCCAGAUCAUAAAAGGAGCUUUGGUACAAUAAUCUUCCCAUACUCCAUCUCAUGCAAAUUUAGUUUUAUGUUGUUCCACUCUACAGUCAACUAAAAUAUAUCUACAAAAUGUAGUUUUGAAAAAAAAAAAAAAAUCAAGUCAAUGCUUUUUUUUUUUUUUCUUUUUUUUAAUACCGUGACAAAGCAACAAAAGCAAGCAGAAGAACCUCAACAACUUCACUAAUUUCUAUGGGCUUUGGAAAGCAAAUUGUAAUAGAAAAAUGAGUGCCAAUUCCAAGUGACAGAAUUACUAUUCCAGGCAAAAUACAGGGAGAGUAAACAUUUCUUUGGCAGAUUUUUUUCCCAGUAAGUCAAAACAUCAUAUUCAGUAUAGCACUGAUUGCCUACUAUUCAUGUCAAGGUACAUUUGUUCAAUACAACUUAAUAUAACAGUAAGUCUAUAAAGAUAUCUGCAAGGUAAGAAUAAAAGAGAGACAAAACAACUUACAUUAUUACCAGGGGGACCGGGUAGACCACGAGCACCAGGGAAACCAGCAGCACCCUACAAGAAACCAAUACUUUUAGUUGCUGAAGAUGAGAAAAAAAAUGAUUUCUGUACAAAAGGUGAGUUAGAAUUCUAUUUAUUUGUUUUGUAUAAAAUCUCAAUUUAAGGUCCUGCUUAAGUUGAUGUUUUUAAAUAAUUAUUUUUUAUUCUAAUCUCCCUCCCCACUUCUUUCAUCAAGGGUAUGUCCUUUAUGUUCCCAAAGGAAAACCAGUUGUCUCUGAGAAAGUUGACAGACUGCAAAUAAAAUCUACUAACUGUGGAGAUAUUAUAGCUUUGUGCCCCAACAAUUAUUUUGGCACCUCCUUUUUAUUAAAUUCACGAAACCCAGGUUACCAAACACCUCAGACUUAAUCACACCUUGUGAUGAAUCUGCAUCACGUUUGUUGUAAUAGUCAGUGAGAAAUGGUUCUGUUUGUUUCAAAGAGGUACUUACAGGGCCUCCAGGAGAUCCACGUUCUCCUUUUACUCCUUGGGGACCAGGCGGACCCUACAUGGAUGGAAACAAAUAUAUUGAAAUAAUUUGAAAAAUAGCUAAAGACUGUAGGUAGCAUCAUUAAGCAGAAAGGAGUUCAGAUGCUUGUGCUUGGGCCCAGCCAUGCUGUGGCUGAGGGAAGGUUGAAUAAGCCUCUCCCUUGGCAGCCAUAAGAGCAGCACAGACUUACUGGUGCACCAGGACCACCCUGUGGACCUGCAGCUCCAGGGGGCCCAGCCUCUCCCCUCAGACCAGGUGGGCCUCGCUCUCCUUUCCCACCAGGUUCACCAUUCUGGCCCUGUAAAAAAGUUAUAACACAGAAGAUAACACUGUGAUGAGAAACCUUACCCAGAUCCUCUUCCAAAGGGAAGAGUUUUAUUGGUCAACUAGAAUAGAAAGAAAAGGAUAAAAACAUAAAUGUUGCCAUAUGUGUGACUGAGUACAGAGUAAAUAGCAAGGAAAUCAGUGUCUGUUAUCAAAAUAUGCAUUUAAGUAGUUAUAGCAAGUCCAAGAUGAAAGUGAAUUUCAAAAAAUGAGAAAUGAAAAAUCAUACUCUAUUGCUUUUAAAUACGCAUACUUACUGGAGCUCCAGGGAAGCCAGCAGGCCCAGGAAGACCUUGUUCUCCUCGCUCUCCCUAUAGAAAGCAGUAAGUCAGCAAUGGGAGUUGUUAGAAAAACAGGCUUCAUAUUUGGAGUUAGAGAGUACUGCUGAAUACAACUGGAGUUUCUUUGUCUUAGCAAUCUAGGGAGAGGAGGAAAGGCAAACAACCAAAGCUAACAGUUGUGCUCCUGAGCUCUAAAAAGAACUGCUCAGAAAUUACCUGAAAAUUAUAAUUGUGAAAAUAAAAAUGGUUUCAGUUACACCUAUAUAAGCCCUGACCACAAUUCAUGGUAGUACCUAGAUAUAAUCAAUGAAUUAUUUUAUCAACGAUAUAAGAAAUAAUAUUGCAGUAAGUUCGUUUAACUGUAUGACAAGACAGAAACAAACAAGACAUUUCUCUGCUUUAUCAACCACCAGAUGGUCCACAUUCUACCCUGACCUGUCACUGCAGCCCUCCAAUCCCCUUACACUGCUAAAACCACUGGAUUUCUCCUGAAGUCCUUAGCAAAUGUAAAUCCCAAGAGUCCAACAGGAGCUGAAUGUGCUCAGUUUAUUAUCGUCUCAAGCUGCUUUUGCUCCUGAUAGAGACAGUAUUAAACUUCUAUUCAGCUCAGCCAUGGUAAAACUACACUGGAAGAGGAGUGCUGUCACUUACCGGACCACCACGGGAACCUGCAGGACCUGGGGCACCAGCUGGUCCAGUCUCUCCCUGUAAGGAACAAAAAUAGUUACCAGGACUCCUUCUUCUUCCCAGGAACCAGCCAGCAAGGCUGCUGCUUACAGUGCCACACAGCGCCACGAAGGAUGCUUUACCUUAUCUCCAGGUGGGCCAGCAGGACCAGGAGGACCAAUGGGACCUACGUUACCCUAAAAUAAUAAAAAAAUCACGUGGUACGCACAGUCACAUACACUCUACAUUCCUUAUAUAUGUAUGUAUAUAUACAUAUAUACAUAUAUAUAUAUAUAUAUACACACACACACAUAUAUAUACAUAUAUAGUUUCUUUGUAUGUAUAUACAGAUACAUUUUAUUUAUAUAUAUAGAGAGAAAUUAUUAUGUAUCAAAAAUGACAGUUAUCAACUUGAUAAAUAUCAUUUAUAUUUCAGUGUAAACACAUUCCUAAUGGAAUUUAAAUGAAAGCAGUUCUAUAACGCCAGUGUGCUGCUGCACAAUACGUUUCAGAGUAACAUAAUGAGAUCACACCAUUUAGUGCAGUGUGAGUUCUUAUUUCCCCAGAUCCUCCCCUGUAAACCUAAAACAAAGUCAUCUGAGGUCAACAGGUGUCUUUCCGUUGUAAUAAUGAUAGUUAUUUACUGCCCUGAAUUUAAUAUAUAGGUAAGUGGACCAUAUUUCUUCAGGAUUUCUCCAGUGUUGUUCAACUCCUUCAUUGUAUUUUCCAUGAGAAUUUGAUGCAUGCCUUACGUUUUGAAAUCCGUUUUUCUCCUUCCUUCAAUUCAUACAACCUGCAUUAAUAUAUUUAUUUGCUCCCUCUCAUUAUUUUUAUGUAUAUAUUGCUUGUGUAUAGUUGUUGAACACAUGUUCAACAAUUUGCAUGUGCUGUGGAUAGAUACAUAAAUAAAUAUAUAGUAAACUGUUCAAGUAUUCUGCAUGACAGCCUUUGCUAUCACAACAUCUUGUACUUCAGUAUUGCCGAAAUACUUCUCUUCAAUUGGCUCCAUCCAGGAAAUUCACAUUUUUACUACUUUUAUAUUGGUGCUUUCCCUCCAAAGCCUGGUCUCCAUUAACUGUCAUCUUCUCCUUGCAAAAAUUCUAUUAUUUCUGCUGUAAUGGCCAUGAUCACAAGGAAUAGUAAUAAGACUAAAUUAGCUUACAAAACCGGAUUUACACAGCCAGAAUGUAAUACAACCGGGUUACUACUUUCUCUCUCCUAGAUAGUAUUUAUUCACUGUAACUCUACUCGCAUUUAAUGCAUAGACAAGAUGAAUUUAAUUCAGAAACUGAAGCUUAAACACUCACUCGCUCUCCUCUUGCACCAGGAAGGCCAUCAGCACCUUUACCACCAGGUUCUCCCUAGAAAGAAAGAUAUAAGAAUUGUAAGCGAAAAGCAGAAGUAAAACAAACAAACAAAUAAAAACAAAAGAACAAAAAAAACCCACAAGGCCCCCUCAAAUUAAAACAUUACUGUGGAGAGCAUCUCAUACUGAGUAUAUCCAAAUAACUCGAUUUCCUUAUUGUGAUCACAUAAGUAUAAAAUGGGAUGACAUUCUGCCCAGUACUGUGCAUCUGAUACUGAAUAUUUUGAUGCAAAAAAUGCAUACAUUUUUAAAAUGGCACCUAUAACAGGGGCAGAGAAUGUGGCAUGAACUACUCUUGUUGAUAUUAGCUUAAUUAGACCUGUUCUAUUCUAUCCUUUCCCCAGUGAGAGCUAUUGGAGUAAAAUAUCUAGCAUGUAUUACACUAGCUGUAAAAUGCGCUAUUUUUCAAAUGCAUUAUAGCCCACAUGACACUGCUAAAACUACAAGCGGAGGCCCUACACAUUUAACACUUCUAACGUUAGUCCAGAAGUCAGCAUAUGAACGAAUCCAGAGCCUUGUGGAAGGUUAACACAGAGUUAGCAUAAAACCCACAGGAUGUUCAAGAUGGGCAUGUUACCUUAUCCCCUUUGGGUCCAGGACUCCCAGAAGCUCCUCUUUCUCCUGGCAUUCCCUGUAAACCAGGCAGCCCUGUGCCUCCAGGGGCACCAGGGGGACCAGGAGGACCCUAGAAAGUGACGAAAAUUGUUAGGAAGGAAAACCAAAGAACAACAUUGAUCUGAAUGCUUCCUGUAGCAAGGGAAAUGCAAGCAAGCCUGUGAGUACCUUGGCACCUUCGGAGCCAGCAGGACCUGGCCCACCUCUUGCUCCAGUAGGUCCUGGAGGACCUUGUGCACCACGUUCACCUGGGAUGCCAUUUUCACCCUAUGACAAAGAAACAUGUUAUUCUUUGUUGUCAGGAUCAUAUUUUGUUAGUUCAUUAAUGUAAUCAUAGAAAUGAUGCUGUAUGUUUUACCUUAGGGCCUGGGAAUCCGGGUCCUCCAAUAUCACCUUUUGGCCCCUGUUUUAGAGAAAAUAAAUGCAACUUAUACAUGAGCUUUAGUUAAUAAAUCCAUGUUGUGGUUGACACCCUGUUUAUCCCAGCUUUGAUUCCUAAAAGCAGACUUCUCUGCUCUGCAGAACACUGAUAGCUGUCUGAUUUUGGCAAUGCGGUCUGCGAAGACCUCAGCAUAAUUUUUUUAUUUUAUUUUUUUAAUUGUCUGGGAAAAAAGAAAAAAAAAUGGUAAUACUACUUACAGGCUCUCCAGGCUUCCCAUUUUCUCCAGCUGGUCCGGGUCCCCCAGGCAAACCCUGUAAGAAGGAACAGCAUUGCUAUGUAAGUCUAUGCUAUGCAGGCAAGUUAUGCAUUGUCCUCCCUAGCAAAUUUUUUGGACACAGAUGCGUACCCCACCCAUACCAAUCCUUCACAAACGAGGAGGAGCUGAUAUGAUAGCUAGCGGUUUAGUGCAGCUCACUCCACUGAGCCAGCUAUCUGGUUUGCAAUUCUGAAACACUGAGCAAUACAUUCUGUCAAUUAAUUAAACUGUUUUACUUCAAAACAUGAUGACGCUAAUGACAUGAAUCCUAAUGAAAAUGUUUAGAUGCUUCCUCUCUUUUUUUUUUUUGUUAAAAAGCAGUUGACAACAAACACACAGCACCUGUAGGCCAGGUGAACCUGACGGUCCUGGUUCUCCUCUGUCCCCAGCAGGACCCUAGAAUCAAACAAAGAAGGAAAAAAUGAAAUUGCUUAUAGAUAAAGACAUUCUCAAACAAUUCCACACCACCUUUAACCUACACCUCCUUAUCUUGAACUGAAGAAGACACUGUGCAAUUCUAAGGCUAAUAUAUCUUGGUGUUCUGUUAUUUGCUCUUUUCACUCUAACCAUCAGAUUAAUUCAGCAGAAAUAUUUAACUCACAGGAAUAUUUGACACUAGACUGAAAUUGCUAGCUCUGAUAAGCUUCAAAGGGAGUACUAAUACAUCUCAAUUAGAAAAGCUGCUACAUCCUUGACAGCUGUGAAUUGACUUUUCAUUUCAACUUACACUGGAUAUACCUGCCUCAGGUUUCUCCUUACAAAGUUUUGAGUAUUAAGGUAUGAAAAAUACGGGGAAGGAUGGGAAUGGAAAGAUCUAGUGUUUAUCUUCAUAAAAGGAGUUUUCUUUAGAACAUAAAAGUAUUCUUUCCCCUAAAAUUGCAGUCUCUGUCUAAGCAGCAGACCACCUUGGCAACAGUUGAUAAGUGACUCUUAAAGGAGUCCAACACUUACAGCAGGUCCAGGAGGACCGGGGAGGCCAACAUCACCAUUCUUCCCAGCAGGACCCUGUACAAAGACAAAACUAGCUAAGGUUAUGGGUUAAUAUAAUUUUUUAUAAUAUCAACCAAAUUAUUAGUAGUUAAUAUUUUUUCCUAUAUUAUUAAAAAGAAAUUAUGAACAAAACUUACAGGAGUUCCAGGUGGUCCACCAGGGCCUCUUUCUCCAUUCUUACCUGGUGCACCCUUACAAAAGAGAAAGAUCACAUGUAAAAUACUUGUUCUAGUCCACACACAAUAACUUAACAACUGCAGCAUUGAAUCUCCCAUGAAGCAAUAUAAUUUUACCACAUGACUGCUCAAGCAUAAGCACAGGAGAAGUGGAAACAGCCCACUAACCUCAUUUCCUUUUGGACCAGGAAAACCCAUUACACCUGGCUGACCACGUGGGCCUGCUGGGCCAGGUGGACCAGAACGGCCAGGUUCACCCUGAUUACCCUGGGAUAGACAGAGAAGAAAUGAAGAUAUGACAUCAGUUAAGUGAAAUAAGUACAUAUCUACGAAUCAUUAAAGAGCAGGCUAGAGACACUUUGAUUUAUCGUGUAUUUUAGAUUUCAACCAAGCUUUUGUAUAUGCUGUACUUCAAGUAAUAUUGAAAAAUAAGAUCUGCAAAAAGCUCUUACAAAGAAGCGGCACCUGAACUGCUCCAGUAAAUUCAAACAAACAAGAGAAAAUUAAUCUGACUAUGAUAACAAUGUACCAAGGAGACAUGCUGCAGGAUCACAGUAAGGCUAGCGGGCAGACUAGCAUAAAAUACAUGCACAGUAUACAUACUGGGGGGCCAGGCUUCCCAUCACUUCCAGGACUUCCUGGAAUCCCAGGCAAACCCUGCAAAUGAAGAAAAAAAAAAACAUUAUUCUUCAGUUUAAAAUGGCUUACAAUACAUAAAUAUAAAAAUUAAAAAAAAAAAUUAAAACGUUUUCUUUGUUUUUAUUUUUUUUACUAUUAUUUUUUAAAUAUUUUUAAGUCCUACUUUAAGUAAUUCAUUUCAAUUUCCAAUAACAUUUUCAUCACCUCUAAGGAGCCUGCAUUCAGGCUCUAAUUUGUUGAUAGCAUUUGCUAACACUCAGUACAGUUCACAUAACAUUACUACAUUCUGCACAUAAAUUCUUGGUACGUACUAUGAAAAUUGAACCAAUUAGAUUUUCAAUAAUUUGCAUUAGUUACAACUAAGCAAUAUAGAAGGAAUAUUUAAUUAUAUUUAAUUAGUCAAUGCAAUUUAUAAUACAAUUUAAACAAUUAUUUAAAUUUAAAAUUAAUUCUACUUUAGUAAUGAAUAUAUGUAAGACACACUGAAAGUAAUGCCUCCUACUUAUUUACAUGGAAAAUACAACAGACACAAAGAGCACAAUAAUACUGUUUAAUAGAGCAAGUUUGUGGCUACAAAAAUCUGUUUUUCAAGAUAUUCACCAUCACUGGCUGUGCAUUCUUGCGAGGGGUGAACAAGGGCCUGCAUGCCAUGCUUGUAAAAAUUGCACCAGCAGAUAUGACCCACUGUCACUACCGCUGAAACGCACCACCCACCACCUCACUGCCCUCACAUCCCACUUUUGGUCUCCAUAAAGGUUCAGUAUGAAUGUCAAUAGGUGCCAUUUUUUUCUGCAGGGAGAAAUUCUGUGACACGUCUUUGCUUCAUAUGCACUUCCAUCUCAGAUGCUGUAACGCUAUAAUGUGAUGGAAAGUACAGUGAUAGUAGCAGAGUAGCACAAUCCUAGGCUAUAGCAAAUGAGAAAAAGCCCGAAUUCAGCAACUGUGGAUGCAAAAACAAAGAAAAACUGCUUACCCUUACAAAGCCUCAGGUACAAAGGGAUAUCCAGUGAGAUACCUCUACCUCCACUGCCAACCCUUAAAUGAAGUCUGAGAAGGGGUGGAUCCUGGCUGAGUAGUCACUCAGAUGAAUUGCAUGUACCUGAGCUCUUCUGGGUUGGCCCUGCCUUCCCAGAGUUCUCAAUCACAGCCCCAGGCCAUGACUCAACAUUUCUGCUACAAAUGUCAUUUUGUCAGACUGCCCCUCUGCUGAGAUCCAUUGCACAGCAACAAAACAUAAUGGAAUACUGGCAGGAAGGUUCACCCUCUACUGCCAUACCAUCAACAUCCGCCUCUCACGUCCCGGGUCAAAAUAAUAAAACGUAAAGCAUUACUUUCAGAGUAACCUUCAUAAAUAUAUUUAAUUUAAUAACUAAUUUUAUUAUCUAUUAAAUAUUAUAAGCAUAAUGUAUCUAUAGUAAAUUUUAAGAUAUAUUAAAACAUAAAAGCCAUAAUAUUCACAUCAAAGCCAUAUGUGAUAACAGUGCACGUUGUAUUCUGAGAGCAGUGGAGCAUCCUUACCUUAGUAUAAACUGCAUGCUUUCACAUACGACAUAAAGCUUCUGAAUGCUCCACGUUACUGUAUGCUUAUCUAUUACACUAUGAACCUAUGUACUAAACUUAAAGGAUGUAAUAACAUCAUUAGUGUUCUUUUCUAGUUGCGCUUCCUUCAUCAGCUUCGAUGAAGCACCUCUAAUAGAAUUUGCUUUAUUUUCUGUAGACAUCCUGUCUUACCCUCAUUCCUGGAAGACCUGGGCCUCCAUCUUGACCACGGUCUCCCGCAGGUCCACUUGGGCCAGGGGGACCUGGGCUGCCACGCUCACCUGCAGGACCCUAAAAAAAGACAUUAAAAUUUACAGCAAGAAAAUGUGUAUCUCAUUGAAUCUGAAAAUUAACAUGGAUUCCACAGAAGUUUGGGAUAGAUUUAUGGGAAGACUUGUACCUUUUCACCUGGAAGUCCGUUGCUACCGGGUAAGCCACGGAAACCAGGAGAGCCCUGCCAAAUAAAUGAAGAAAACAUGGAUCUUAGACAAUACGACUGAGUGGAACAUACUUUUUCUAAACUGUUUACCUUUAGACUUUCAGAAAACUGGUCAAUGAAAUAUAUUGAAAUUACAUUUCUCUGUGAUAAGAAUGCGAGAAAAAUAAUUUUUGCCUGGAUAAAACCCUCCUGUUGAUAUAAUAGACAGUCCUUCACUUAUUUUAACAGGUCCUGCAUUAGUCCCUUUAUUCAUUAGAAUUUUUUUAAAGUAAAUUCAUAUUAAAAAAAAAAAGAAACAACAAAUGGAAGUCUUGCAGAAUUAUUUUCUUCUAAUUCUAUUCUGAAAAUUACUCUAUUGUAUUAUUAUUGCUUACAAGAAAUUUUAAUUAUAUCAUUCGCAGCCCAGCAUAUAUAUUUAAUAUAGUUUGUUGACAUUAUUGUUGACAUUAAUAUAAUUGCUGACAUUAUUCACUUUUAAGGCACACUGACAUUAAAGAUGAUGACAUAAAGACAUAUCCUGAAUGUAGAAGAAUUUGCAUCGUUUUCACUUUUCACAGGAAAUUUUUUGUCACUAUUCUUUUUUUUAGAACUUUCAAAAAUUGCAUAAAAGUCAAUUUUUUUUUCAAUCCCUAUGUGCUUCUCACAGAUUAUAGCUGAUUUUCAGAAAGAAGCUUUAGAUAUGACUUCCACAUUACUUCCUCAAUAUAUUAAAAAAAAAAAAAAGAAAUGAAAUGAUUUCAGUCUGAGUUAGAACCAAGCUCUGCAGCUCAGAUUAGGAACUCAAUAAGAACUCUCCCAAGUUUUGUACCCGACUCCACAUGUUGAAUUUGGUGAGACCUGAUAAGGAGCCAAGUUUUUCCUCCAAGCACUCUAACACCAGAGUUUGUUACUACCAUACAAACUCAAAAUAUACACAGUGCGCAUGGUCAUCUACAGUGGUUUACCCUCUCUCCAGGUGUCCCAGGGACGCCAUUCUGGCCAGGUUCACCGUUUGCACCUCUCUUGCCUUCCUCACCGGGAGGUCCAGGAGCACCUGGGGUGCCAUUUUCACCCUGGCAACAACACAAGCCACCAGCAAACUUAGACAUCUCCAAAAAACCCUAAUGUUUUUUGUGUGUGGAACAAUUCAGAGUUCAGACUUCCUUGGAAGAAGUCUCUGAAGGCAUUUUACAAUUACUUACACGCUCGCCUUUUGGGCCUGGAUCUCCUUUUGCACCAUUCUUACCAGGUUCUCCCUAAACAGAAGAAAAUCUCAUUGAAGGUACUGACUGCAGCAUUUUUUUAUUCCGAAGCUAUGAUAAAAUGCUAAAAUACUAAGAGAUACACAUUAUAUAUUUCAAAAUACAGACUAAUUUUUAUUAUUUUAAUAACUUAUUGCAACACACUUAGUAUAUCAGUUGGACCUCAAUGUUGAAUGUAUGGGACUCUUUAAAAAUCCAGUAAAGAAGUGAUGCAAUCUUAAGCACCACUGAGAAUAAUUUUAUAUCUGUUUUUGAGCCAGCAUAGACAUUGACAUGACUUUAACUUGAAGUCCCUGAGAAUUUCUCUAAGAACUGUGUGUGGUGUAAAGGUGCCAGGAGAGAACAUAUUGAGGUAAAUGACAGGAUUAGAGUAGGUGCAACUCACUGGGUAUGUUGGGCUGUAGACUCAGGCCCGUGAGAAUUAAAGCAGGUGAAACUAGGAUUUUACAAUGACAGAUUUUGUUUAACACAGCUUUUUUAGUCAAGAUAUUUUCUGUUGUGUUUUUCUGAUUUGAUACAUAAUUUAGAAAAGCAAAUAUUACUAGUAGAUUUAUGUACAGUAUCUUCUAUACCAAUAUACAAAGUAACGCAUGAAAGAUAAAUAAUAUAGUUUUAAAAAAUAAUUGUCUACUGUCGUUAUCAUAAAAUAAUUUAUUAGUCCAUCUCAAAUGAAUAGGAUAAAUUAAAUGUGUUUUCUUUUUAAUGGUAUCAGAACUACAUUCACCACAUUAUUUUGUUCAACUGUUGUAAUGGAUACUAGUAACUCACAGGAGUGCCUUUUGCUCCAGGGUUUCCACUUGUACCAGGAGGACCAGGAAGACCACGGCCUCCUGGAAGACCAGGAGCACCAGGAAUCCCAGAAGGUCCCUGUGGAGAGCCAAAGGGGAUCAGGAUUAACAGAGCUCCACAUGGCUGGAUUCUGCCUAGUCCUCAUUAACACAGCGCAGCAAAAUACAUUGAUGUGAAAAGUACUUACCAUUUCACCCUUGUUGCCGGGGCUUCCAGCUCUUCCAGGAGGACCCUGGAGAAGAGAAUUAUUUAAAUAAUUGAUGCUGCUCACCUGGCAUCCUUAAACCAAAGGAGUCCUUGGGCUUUGUGAAGAGAUUCUGGACCCACACCUCCUAGUCCUCCUUUGAUAUUUCCGUACCUGAGGCCCAGGGGGCCCAGCUUGACCCUGAGGACCAGGUUCUCCUCUCUCACCAGGACUGCCACUAGCACCAGCAGGGCCAGGAGGACCAGCUUCACCCUAAGGAAGAACAGCAGAAGUGAAAAAUGAAUGGGUUUCAGUCAUGACUCCAGGGGAAUCAUCUUCAUGGCUUCUUUCUCUCCUUUGCAUGAUUUAAGAAAAACACUACCGUGUCACCUGGGUGCAAGAGCCAGAUCAUUUCAGCUAUCCAAAGCUGAGGCACAUGAUCCCAAUACAUUCCAACAAACACAUGCUGCAUGGCUCCUUUGUGGAAAGUUCACUUGAGACUCUCCCAUAAAGCUGCAAAAAGCAGUAGAUCUACCACUGCACUGUAUUUUAGGGUGGGUGUUUUUGAAGAUCAGCUCAUGCUGCAUAUGAAAACAUAUCAGUUCUAUGUUUGUGAACAGUAUGACAGCAGCCAGAAAAAGGAGUGUCCAUAAAGUGAAGAUGUAUGGUGACAGCUGUCCAACUGGAAAAAGGACAAAAUCUCAUGUUAGCACAUAUAUUUAGCUAAAUACCUUAAAACCUGGAGAGCCCGGAAAUCCUGCAGUUCCAGGGGGACCUGGAGGACCCUUAAAAAGUGAAAGAAAUACUAUUACUACAAGAAGUAAAAAGCCAUAUGGAUAGAAUUAAUCUGAAGUUUUAAAAAAAUGUCUGAUUAUGACAUUAUUCUCUGAAUAAAGAAACACCUGGCAAAAUAGGCAAAAUAAACCAUGUUGUAGAAGAUGAAGCUUGGCUAGACCUACAAUAUCACACCAAUAUGUCACCUACCCUGACUUUCAUGUUCAUGUUCAGCUGAAUUUAUGUGUUUUAAGAUUAAAAAAACACAUAAAUUUAUCAUGAAAGAGAUUAAGAUAUAAAAUAGGUCAAAAUUUUUAUUAAGAAAAGAGAUGUAAGAGAAAAGCAAGUCAAUAGAAGUGUUAUACAUACAUGUGGGCAUGCUCAGGUUUCAUCAUGAAGAUGAAAAAGAAAAAAGACUUUUGCACACUUCAGCUAAAUAUUGUCUUUGAUAAGACGACUCUUUUCUUUCUGCACAGAGAACUGCAGCUCUAUCCAUCUACAUGUUCCCUGAGAACAAUCUGUCUCCAGAUUUAUGCAUUUUCUGAUUUACAGUGUUAAAAGUCUCCUAUUUUCACGGUAGUCUUCAAGUAUCUUGACUAAUACUUGAGCAACACAAACGUUUAAAUUCAAACAACUGUAAGUCUUACAGGUGGGCCUGCCGCUCCAGGAGCUCCAUCUUUGCCAUGGGCACCCUAUGGAAAGAACAGAGGUAAAAGCAUCUGUUUGGAAGUAGAACCUAUGUUCUAGUCCCAUCACUCACAAAGCAUCUUUUUGUGUUUGUACUAUCCCACUCAGUUUACCAAAAUCCAAAGAUUCCCCACGUGAAACAUUCUAGAACAAUGAUUAACUAAAUAUUAUGGAAAGAAUAUUUAUCGCUUCAUGUGACUUGCACUGUAAUGAUAAAACAGGAAAAUAGAUACUUGUGAAAUUUCUUAAGGAGAUGACAGUUACAAGCAUCACCCCUGUGGCCAGUUUUUACAGUUGAAUAUGUAAAAUCACAAUAACAGAUAAUUGUAAUUCACAUUCAACACUAAAAUUUCACUCCAUCAGCCUAACAGAAUGUGAUAUCACAACAGGUGUGAUUUAAAACCUACUGCCCAUCUUUUAGACAUGACAGACCAGGUCUGCCACUCAGGCUAUGCAGAUGUUGAACAAACAUAUUGCUGGUUAUUAUAUGCUAGUAGAGCUUUGUUGAUUUUGUUGAAUGCUAUGAACUGUGAUUUCUUUCAGGAGAUAGAAUAUACCCUCUAACCUUGGUGUGAAUGUAGUUUUUAUCUUUUUCCUGCAAGGAAGUUCUAAGAUUGUAUUUUUUCUUCUCGUGCUCUUUCCUUCCACUCUGCCUCCCUGUUCUUAUUGGCUGAACCUAUGCUUCUGUUGAAACACCAAGCUUUCCCACAAAAUGAAUCUAUUCAUUUAAAAAUGAAAUACUAAAAUUGCCCACAAGUUGUGAGUUAAAAUUGUGUCAUGCUUACUGUCAUCUUCAGCUGGAGACUAAUAUGUUUCUAGAUGUCAUUUUAGAGAUGCUAUGUAGUUUUCCAGUCCCUUGCAAAACAGCCGUUUUAAGACAAAUCAAUGACCAGGGAAUUCCCAACAUACUGAAAUAAAAUGUGCGGCUCAUUGAUAAGAUCAACAGCCGCAAUUAAUUACUUACAGGGCCACCAGGAUUUCCAGGUCUUCCUCUUUCACCAGUUGGACCUCUUGGUCCCUAGAAAACAUGAGAAAACUAGUCUGCCACACGGCUUCCGGAAUACAUAGGGUCUAGUAUUUCUCUUAUUUGCAGAGCUCAGUAUUGGCAAUGCAUGCAGUGGGGUAAUUAAAAGAAAAAUAAGUUCAUCUAUUAAGGAAAAAAUGCCAUUGGCACUUCCAUUUGUAUGCUAAAUGAUACAAAUAUUUACCGGUUGGCCUGGUGAUCCAUUUGCUCCAGGUUGACCAGCUUCACCCUGUGGUGUAAAGAAAACACCAAACAAUUACAGAAUGAACCGUGGUGAGAACAUUUAUUUAUUUAUUCAAGAGGAAGAGACAUGGAAUCAAGACAACCCAACUCUUUGCCCCUGAACAUGUAGUGCUGAGUGUCCACAGUACAAACUGAUGUCUGUGAGGUGUGAGACACCUAAAAAAGUGCCAGAACAAAAGAUCUCAACAGAAAAGAAGUAAUUGGGAAGAUCUGGUCAUUCAUUAUUACACAAUAAAGUCAAAUGAUCUGAGCACAUCCCCUCAUUUUUGAAUCUUGCCUCUUUCACAGUUAGAAAGUCAGGGCAUUAUAUUGUUUAGAAAGUCCAACUUUUUUCAGGACGAUUCUCAUUCUUUUCAUGGAGAGGUUCAAUGAGUUUCAAUACUUAACGGCUUUCUGUAAGAGCAUAACGUGCAAAGUAUAACUACAUAACAAGUAAUGGAGAAUAGUAUUGUACCUAUUAUAAAGAUUAUACUAGUUUUCUUACCUUUGGACCAGGAGCACCACUGUCACCUUUGGCACCAUCUUUUCCAUCAAAACCCUGUGGGAAAGGAAAACCAGAUCUGUGAAUAGUAUUUCUCCUGUGGGGUAGAAAAUCUGAUUCCCCUUGGCCAAAUAUUGAGCUUUAAGGGCACUGUUUCUUAUGAUUAUUUUAAAUGUGAAAAGAAUUGAAAAUGCCUUUGAAAAAUAGAAAGAUAUUUUACAUGUUCUUAUAGAAUUGCAGUAACAAAUAGAGAUUUUUUUUUAAGAAAACACUACAUGGGAAAACUAGAGUGACAGAGUAUCUUUGUGUAUGUGGAAUAAAUUGUGGGCUGCAGUUUACACUGUUCAGAGCUCACUCUCAGUCUCAUUUCAGCUUGUUUUCCUACUAUCACACAGAUCGAAUAUUGAUAUUAAAAGAGAGGUUUAAAUAUGUUUUAGUGAUUAUAUAUUAUAAAAGAUAUAGAAUAAAUGCUAAAUGCAAAUAUUCAUUAUUUCAUUAGCAUAACAGGUGCAAGCUGAGUGCUUAAAGCAGUCAAUAGAAACAAUUAUUUCUAAAAUGUUAAAUGAUUUUGUAGCUAUAAUUGCUUACUCUUUAUUUUUGAAGUAUAAAAAGUAGAAGUGAUAGAAAGAAGAGCCUUUAAUGUACCUUCUUUGGCUUUGGUUAAUUUUAUGUACAUUUAAAUUAUUUUCCUUCAUAUUUAAAGCUAUAACAUCAUAAAAUUAAAGAAGUGUGACGUGGCUAA